UAUUUAAAAACUUCACGAGAGCCCAAUGUUUAAACCUAUAAUUUCGUGAAUAUCCUUUUUUCCCAAAAACAUCCAGCUAUUUAUUGAUUUCAAUAAAACAAACUUGUGACUUAAAGUUCCGAUUUUAUUUCCAUAACAUCUUCGACACAAAAACCAUAUGAAAUUCCUAAUGAAAGUGAAGAUGCGUCAUUGACCAACAGUAACGGUAUACCAAUAGUGUGGAUAGUCAUUGGGUUGAGCGUUAUUAUUGCGGUUGUCAUUAUUUCAACGGUCAUCGUAUUGGUCAGAAAACGAUUUUUAAAGAAGAAUCAGCACGUAAAUACAAGUGAACCUCAGCCUGUCCAACAUGGGUUCAGAAAGCAACCUAGUUUAUGCAGAUAUAGACAUCGAACAUUUGGAGACAGCCAGCAAACCAUCUGCGAGACAGAAGCCGCCAAGUCCGACAAAAUUUGCUGGCGUUGAUUUUAUCAGAACAGAACGUGGAUCAAACAGUGACAAUAUUAUUACCUAAUGUCAGGGAAGAUAAUAACUUUACAUACGUGCUCACAAGCUGAUGUACUCAUAUACAAAACAUUGCUUAAAUUCUUAAUUGAUUUAACUCAUAAAUCAAUCUGAGAAAUGACAUUUACCAAAUGGUUUACAUUCAAUACAAAUGACUUUCCAGGGAUUUCCAGCGACAUCAGUCUCACUGAUAGCAAUCUAUGAAGAGUUUUGAGAUUUCCAAGCAAAUAAUAUCCAUGAUAAUACUAAUUUACUUUAGUUCGAUUGUGAAGUAGUUGCUUGUUUAGCUUGUUAGAAGAAUUCAGUGUUAAUUGUAUCUUAAUCAAACUUAUAAAGUAGUAAACUAUCCAUGGGAGCUCGGUUCCGUUUUAAACCAGCCAGAUCCGCCUUUUCACUACUUGAUUAUGACUCUUGAAAUGAUCAAAAUUGCUUUUUGUUGUCAAAUGAAAAAAAACAGUCUAAGGGAGACAACGUGUAUUCAGUGAGCGUAGUUUUUUCACUCACUUGACUUUGUUAAAGUGGUGAAACUUACAGUUUAAGAUAGACAACCUGUACUGAAAAGAUAGCGGUGGGUUUUCUCCCUUACCUUUGUUAAAGAGUAUUGAAUGAAUUUAGCUUUAUUGGCCAAAUGCCAGAAGA